rnacentral:lncRNA from 1 species
CCUUAACUUGAGGGGUGAACAACUUAGUGCUUGAUCCUCCAGGGUUACCUGCAAAGUGAUUCGAUUAUCCAUUGAGCGAAAGAGCAAAUCACCUACUUGAGGCGGUGGAAAGCGUAUGGAAGUUAUAUUAGAGCUUCAGCAAAGUGCACAGCUGCAUAAUGCAGAAGCCUGAAUUCAGAUUGACAGGCAAAUAAGCCGGCUUGUGGAAGGGGCCUCUGGGUAGCAGCUCUGGGCUGUUGGGUGUUGGACAACUCUAGGCAAAACUGAAAAGGAACAGGGGCAGAAAAUAGCACACUCUUACUCUACGCAACUGUUGUUUUCUCAUGACCAUGCUCCAGACCUCUGAGCUGCUUCUGCUUCUGUUCAUUUCUACUACUGCACUCUAAGUGAAAGUAUAAGUAUGUUGUUCCUGGACCAUACCUAGGCCGCUAAAUUUUCUCCCUAUUUCUCCAAAGCCACCCCAUUCUUACUCUUUCAGCCGCGUCCUAUCAAGCAGCCAGAAUAAUGUCACAAAUAAGAUCAUCAGGAAAUUUACUGGGAUAAUUCCAAGCAUUGUAUCUAAGAGGGGAUCGAACUCGGGUCAUUGCACUUGCAAAGCAGGUGACAGAAACACUGAGCUAAAUCCCCAGGCCCCUGGGAGUCGUUUUGGUGUUGGGUGUUUUGAUCAACAACAAGGAAAGUAAGAACAGACAGAAAAAUAUAGUGUUCCACCUAUGGGAAAAUCUUUGUGGAUACUCCACAGUCCAAGGAAAAAGGAAGAAGAAUAAAAGAAAGGGAGAGAUGAGAAAAGAGGAGAAAAGUAAUGGAGCUGCUUCUGAGAUGAAGAAAACUCCCAAUGUGAAGUUCAAACAAAGAACAGAAUGAAAUACAUAUGGGUAUCUUCAACGAUUAUACAGAGGAAAUUUUAUUCACCUAUAAAGGCAUUUGAACUGGGCAAACAGGACGACAGCAGCAGUGAGCAUGAGAUCAUUGCAGCCCUGUAGCAAACUGGCAUCCUGCCUUUUCACCACUUUGGUUCGGGAGACAAACGUGUGCAAUCCUCAUUUCUAAAGUCAGCACAGCCUGGAAGGAUUCCUGGUCUCUCCCACCUUCUACCAUUCUGCUGCCAGUGACGGCAAGGAUUGGUGCAGUUUCUGCGCAGUGCUUUGUGCCUGGAAUACCGAGAAGGAAGAAAAAGAAGACAAGCUUUCUGGUUCUUCUCUUCUAAGAAAUAACAGGAGCCCUGAAGAAAAAAAAAUCUGAGUUUGUCUUACUACAUGCAAGAGUUCUGAAAGAGAGAGAGAAAGACGCUCCUGCUCAAAAACAAAAAAACAAAAACAAACAAAAAUCCAAUCCAAAAAACAAACAAACAAAAAAAAGCAAACAUUGGCUUACAUAACUGCAGAGACAUCGGGCUUUCUAAAGCAGCUUUUGAAGGCAACAUAACCAAAUGAGCCUUCUUUAUUUUUACUAUUUCAAAAAAUAUGGCAUGAUUAGCAAUACAUUGCACUUGGUGAAAUCGCACCUUUCAUAUCAGGGAAAAACUUAAAAUGGAUAUGAGAAGUGAAGAAAGUGAUCAUAGGAGAAAAUCAUCUAAGAUCAACCACUUCAGAAGAACCAGAUUCCACUUCUAUGACCAGGACUUUUAUGUUAUGGCUGGUCCGAUUGUUUUACCCUGCGUUCUAUGCUACUAAACCUUGGAUCAUUCCUAAAGUACAAAUUCUGUUCUUGAACCACAAACAAGCUAAAAGAUCGGAGGAAAUUCAGUGAAUAUGCAGGAUUGGGAUUGUGUGUUUUCAAAAGUGUUGAGAUUUAUAAUGCAAUCAUUCAAGAAAUAGAAUCAUUUUUUUAUGUUGUUGCCAGCAUUUUAAGUUAGCUGUUUAUUAAGUGACAUUCAUCAAAUAACUACAGAUUAUGCAUGGAAAUAUUUGCUGUCUGAAUAGUUUGGAGAUUUAACGAGAAAAUCAAGCUUCAGAGGUGUCUGAGGAUUUGUGAGCAUCAAGUGAAUGUUCUAUGGAAUCAUCUUUCCUUGCCUUUGAAUUACCUUUCCCUAGGCCAUGAGUCAACAUCCAUAUUUUAUUCUUCCAAAUUGAAUGAAGAAAUACAGACUUCCAUCUUGGAUUACCACCCUGCCAAAAGUCUGACGAGGGAUUGCAUUAUAUAUUUCCUGCAUCCAAGUGACUCAAUGACCAACCAAUUCUUACUAAAGAAUUUCCCAUCUGGAAUUCAGUUCUCUUCCUCUGGGAGGCUGAGAAUGAAGUACUGGAGGAAGCUCAACAGCUUUUACACUAAUGAAUAUAACUCUUCAUGGAAGCACAAAGAAGGAAUAUGAAGGUUUCCUUCCAAAUAGGUGCCAAAUUGUGGAAGAUAGAAUGAUUUUCUGGCCUCCAGAACCCAGAGAUCAA